AUUGAACGCUGGCGGCAGGCCUAACACAUGCAAGUCGAACGGUAACAGGAAGACGCUUGCUUCUUUGCUGACGAGUGGCGGACGGGUUAGUAAUGUCUGUGAAACUGCCUGAUGGAGGGGGAUAACUACUGGAAACGGUAGCUAAUACCGCAUAACGUCGCAAGACCAAAGAGGGGGACCUUCCGGCCUCUUGCCAUCGGAUGUGCCCAGAUGGGAUUAGCUAGUAGGUGGGGUAACGGCUCACCUAGGCGACGAUCCCUAGCUGGUCUGAGAGGAUGAUCAGCCACACUGGAACUGAGACACGGUCCAGACUCCUACGGGAGGCAGCAGUGGGGAAUAUUGUACAAUGGGCGAAAGCCUGAUGCAGCCAUGCCGCGUGUAUGAAGAAGGCCUUCGGGUUGUAAAGUACUUUAAGCGGGGAGGAAGGGAGUAAAGUUAAUACCUUGCCUCAUUGACGUUACCCGCAGAAGAAGCACCGGCUAACUCCGUG
rnacentral:rRNA from 1 species